AGUAAUGGUAGCCGGGCACGAGCAGGUUUCGGCCUGGCCGUGGUGUCGUGGACACGGUCUUCUCACCUCGCGUCCGGCUACCACCCGA
rnacentral:antisense_RNA from 1 species